AGUCUGUGCAUUGCCACCAUACCCUCUGUGAAGUGCCCUGAUCUAUGCACCACAACCCUUAAUCAGACCAACGUGGUCAGCAGUUUGUUUACUAGCAGCUACACUGUCCGCUCAGGACCCAUUAGCCUUGUGUAUACCACUCCUGCACCAUUAACAACAACAGUCAGCACUACUCCGACCAUUACUCCAACCACUACUCCUACCGCUAUUACAACCACUACUACAACCACUACUUCACUAACUACUACCAAACCUGCCCAGAGUACCUCACAUGCUCCAGAACACCCCUCAGCCAUGGCAGCAGGAGUUAUUUUGACAACUAUCAGCAUAUUACUUAAAAACAUCUUUGUUUACUGAACAUGCUGCUGAAAGAUCUGUCAGAUUAUGGAGCACUACAUUUGUCUGUUUGGGACAUUUAAAAAUUGAAUUGUAUAUUUUGAGCUUUUUCACAGUAGCUAAUAAAGUGAGAGCACAUUACAUGCUGCUGUACUGCUCACACUGAGUGAUCUUUAUUACUGUUGCUUAUAUCACCAGUAGUGGGAAGAUGCUAAAGGAUAAGACGCAGACAAAGGGUUACGCAAUAUAAUAUAUUUUUCCUGAAAUAGGGCUUUAUUUUUAAUUUGCUUAUAUGAGGAGUCCAGGGACUUUGGAGCUUGUUGCAUGUCAUUUUUCCUCUCUGGUAGGUUUUUUAAAUAAGGAAACUACACUAACAUUUCAUAUCUCCAUUCACUUGUUAACAUCGUGUUCAAUAAAAAAUGUCUUGUCUGAUGGACAAUA